AAGGCUGCUCAAACUGACCUGGAGGUAUGUGGCGUCUUUCGAAAGGUUUAAUAGCUGACUUUGGUUUUUUGACAAACUCUUAAUGAUAAAAUCCCCUCAAGUUAUACUAGUCCAAAUAAUUGAAUUCAUACUAGAUUCCUGCAUCUCAGAAUGUAAUGUAGGUACAAUUAUAUUCAUAUUAAUCAGAUAGUGGAUAAUUUCAAGUGAUGAAUAAUAUUUUGAUCACAUACAAUUGGAGAUGUGUUCACUUGUAGAAAACAUGACUUACUUUUUGGAAAACUUUUCCAAGAAACAUAGGAAAAACAAUUUCACGUUUAAAUGUGAUAGACUGAUAGUUUUCCAAAUUGAGAACCAAAAACCAAAAUUUUUCUGGCCUUUUUAUUAGCGGAAAAUAGUUUUAUGUUUACUAUUUUUCGUUUUCAAACUUUUUUUUUCUGUUUUAAUUCUAUGGAAUACCCAGAAAACAUGUUAAUUUGCUAAAAAUAGAAAAUCUUUUCCCAAAAAA
rnacentral:misc_RNA from 1 species